UACGCAGGGGGCUAGCGUUGCUCGGAUUGACUGGGCGUAAAGGGCGCGUAGGCGGUUCGUACAGUCAGACGUGAAAUCCCUCGGCUUAACCGGGGAACUGCGUCUGAUACUGGAUGGCUUGAGUUCGGGAGAGGGAUGCGGAAUUCCAGGUGUAGCGGUGAAAUGCGUAGAUAUCUGGAGGAACACCGGUGGCGAAGGCGGCGUCCUGGACCAACACUGACACUGAUGAGCGAAAGCCAGGGGAGCAAACGGG
rnacentral:rRNA from 1 species